rnacentral:rRNA from 1 species
GAUGGCCACACUGUCUCCUCCAGAGACUCAGCGAAGUUGAAAUGUUUGUGAUGAUGCAAUCUCCCCGCGGAAAGACGGAAAGACCCCAUGAACCUUUACUGUAGCUUUACAUUGGACUUUGAACAGAUCUGUGUAGGAUAGGUGGGAGGCUUUGAAACCUGGUCGCUAGAUCAGGUGGAGCCGACGUUGAAAUACCACCCUGGUGUGUUUGAGGUUCUAACCUUGGUCCCUUAUCGGGAUUGGGGACAGUGUAUGGUGGGCAGUUUGACUGGGGCGGUCUCCUCCCAAAGUGUAACGGAGGAGUUCGAAGGUACGCUAGCCACGGUCGGAAAUCGUGGUGAUAGUGCAUUGGCAUAAGCGUGCUUGACUGCGAGACUGACAAGUCGAGCAGGUACGAAAGUAGGACAAAGUGAUCCGGUGGUUCUGUAUGGAAGGGCCAUCGCUCAACGGAUAAAAGGUACUCUGGGGAUAACAGGCUGAUACCGCCCAAGAGUUCAUAUCGACGGCGGUGUUUGGCACCUCGAUGUCGGCUCAUCUCAUCCUGGGGCUGUAGCCGGUCCCAAGGGUAUGGCUGUUCGCCAUUUAAAGAGGUACGUGAGCUGGGUUUAAAACGUCGUGAGACAGUUUGGUCCCUAUCUUCCGUGGGCGCUGCAAGAUUGAGAGAGCCUGCUCCUAGUACGAGAGGACCGGAGUGGACGCACCUCUGGUGUAUCGGUUGUCACGCCAGUGGCAU